rnacentral:rRNA from 1 species
AACGAACGCUGGCGGCAUGCCUAACACAUGCAAGUCGAACGAGACCUUCGGGUCUAGUGGCGCACGGGUGCGUAACGCGUGGUAACCUGCCCUUAGGUUCUUAAUAACUCCCCGAAAGGGGUGCUAAUACCGGCUAAUUUCUUCGGCCCAAAGAUUUCUCGCCUUUGGAUGGGCCCGCGUUGGAUUAGCUAGUUGGUAGGGUAAAAGCCUACCAAGGCGACGAUCCAUAGCUGGUCUGAGAGGAUGAUCAGCCACACUGGGACUGAGACACGGCCCAGACUCCUACGGGAGGCAGCAGUGGGGAAUAUUGGACAAUGGGCGAAAGCCUGAUCCAGCAAUGCCGCGUGAGUGAUGAAGGCCUUAGGGUUGUAAAGCGCUUUUACCCGGGAGGAUAAUGACAGUACCGGGAGAAUAAGCUCCGGCUAACUCCGUG